AUUGAACGCUGGCGGCAGGCCUAACACAUGCAAGUCGAACGGUAGCAGGAAGCAGCUUGCUGCUUUGCUGACGAGUGGCGGACGGGUGAGUAAUGUCUGGGAAACUGCCUGAUGGAGGGGGAUAACUACUGGAAACGGUAGCUAAUACCGCAUAACGUCGCAAGACCAAAGAGGGGGACCUUCGGGCCUCUUGCCAUCGGAUGUGCCCAGAUGGGAUUAGCUAGUAGGUGGGGUAACGGCUCACCUAGGCGACGAUCCCUAGCUGGUCUGAGAGGAUGACCAGCCACACUGGAACUGAGACACGGUCCAGACUCCUACGGGAGGCAGCAGUGGGGAAUAUUGCACAAUGGGCGCAAGCCUGAUGCAGCCAUGCCGCGUGUAUGAAGAAGGCCUUCGGGUUGUAAAGUACUUUCAGCGGGGAGGAAGGGAGUAAAGUUAAUACCUUUGCUCAUUGACGUUACCCGCAGAAGAAGCACCGGCUAACUCCGUG
rnacentral:rRNA from 1 species